rnacentral:rRNA from 1 species
GUGGGGAAUUUUGGACAAUGGGCGAAAGCCUGAUCCAGCAAUGCCGCGUGUGUGAAGAAGGCCUUCGGGUUGUAAAGCACUUUUGUCCGGAAAGAAAUCCUUUGGGUUAAUACCUCGGAGGGAUGACGGUACCGGAAGAAUAAGGACCGGCUAACUACGUGCCAGCAGCCGCGGUAAUACGUAGGGUCCGAGCGUUAAUCGGAAUUACUGGGCGUAAAGCGUGCGCAGGCGGUUUUGUAAGACAGAUGUGAAAUCCCCGUGCUUAACCUGGUAAUUGCAUUUGUGACUGCAAGGCUAGAGUGUGUCAGAGGGGGGUAGAAUUCCACGUGUAGCAGUGAAAUGCGUAGAGAUGUGGAGGAAUACCGAUGGCGAAGGCAGCCCCCUGGGAUAACACUGACGCUCAUGCACGAAAGCGUGGGGAGCAAACAGGAUUAGAUACCCUUGUAGUCC